AACGCGAAGAACCUUACCCAGGCUUGACAUGUAGUGGACAGUGAUGGAAACAUCAUCUCUCUUCGGAGCCGCUACACAGGUGCUGCAUGGCUGUCGUCAGCUCGUGCCGUGAGGUGUUGGGUUAAGUCCCGCAACGAGCGCAACCCUUGUCAUUAGUUGCCAACAUUUCGGAUGGGCACUCUAGUGAGACUGCCCGGGUUAACCGGGAGGAAGGUGAGGAUGACGUCAAGUCCGCAUGGCCCUUAUGCCUGGGGCUACACACGUGCUACAAUGGCAGGUACAGAAGGUAGCCAAACCGCAAGGUGGAGCAAAUCCCUAAAGCCUGCCCCAGUUCAGAUUGUAGUCUGCAACUCGACUACAUGAAGUCGGAAUUGCUAGUAAUGGCGUGUCAGCUACAACGCCGUGAAUACGUUCCCGGGCCUUGUACACACCGGACACGC
rnacentral:rRNA from 1 species